UACGGAGGGGACUAGCGCUGUUCGGAAUUACUGGGCGUAAAGCGCACGUAGGCGGAUUUGUAAGUCAGGGGUGAAAUCCCGGGGCUCAACCUCGGAACUGCCUUUGAUACUGCAAAUCUCGAGUCCGGAAGAGGUGAGUGGAAUUCCUAGUGUAGAGGUGAAAUUCGUAGAUAUUAGGAAGAACACCAGUGGCGAAGGCGGCUCACUGGUCCGGUACUGACGCUGAGGUGCGAAAGCGUGGGGAGCAAACAGG
rnacentral:rRNA from 1 species